CACUGUGAGUGAAAUAUAGCUCCAGUUUUCCAGGAACCAGGUCACAAAGAAGUCAAUACAAGAACACACUUUAUUGGGCAAAAUGGGUCUUCUUCUGGGUAGAAAGGACAGUGUUAUCGGGCGAAACAAAUACAGAAAGCAAACUGAAUUAUCUGUCAGUAUCUCUAGCCAAUGGGUGACAAUAUUAACAGCCAUCAGAAGUGACAGGAUCGUGGAUGCAGCAGAUCAAAAUUGGAAAUAUAAAUUGUUUUGGUGGAUGUACACGUUCUACUUACCUUAUAAAUUAUAUUUCUUGAAGAAGCUAAUACUGUUUUAAAUUCACUGUCCCUUUAAUGAAUUGCAGAAACAUUUUAUCUGAAGCUGAGUAACAGAAACUAGAGAUUACUAGUGUGUGCCAAAAAUCUCAUCCGAGGGCAAAUGAAUCCCAAAACUGUAACAAUGGAAAUGUUCUCCUUCUUUUCUUCUUGCAUCUGCUUUGCAGCUGAUUAAAGUGUAUGGCACA